GAUGAACGCUGGCGGCGUGCCUAAUACAUGCAAGUCGAGCGAACGGACGAGAAGCUUGCGUCUCUGAUGUUAGCGGCGGACGGGUGAGUAACACGUGGAUAACCUACCUAUAAGACGGGGAUAACUUCGGGAAACCGGAGCUAAUACCGGAUAAUAUUUUGAACCGCAUGGUGCAAAAGAGAAAGACGGUCUUGCUGUCACGAAUAGAUGGAUCCGCGCUGCAUUAGCGAGUUGGUAAGGUAACGGCUUACCAAGGCAACGAUGCAUAGCCGACCUGAGAGGGUGAUCGGCCACCCUGGAACUGAGACACGGUCAAGACUCCUACGGGAGGCAGCAGUAGGGAAUCUUCCGCAAUGGGCGAAAGCCUGACGGAGCAACGCCGCGUGAGUGAUGAAGGUCUUCGGAUCGUAAAGCUCUGUUAUUAGGGAAGAACAUAUGUGUCAGUAACUGUGCACAUCUUGACGGUACCUAAUCAGAAAGCCACGGCUAACUACGUG
rnacentral:rRNA from 1 species